AGUGAACGCUGGCGGUAGGCCUAACACAUGCAAGUCGAACGGCAGCACAGGAGAGCUUGCUCUCUGGGUGGCGAGUGGCGGACGGGUGAGGAAUACAUCGGAAUCUACUCUGUCGUGGGGGAUAACGUAGGGAAACUUACGCUAAUACCGCAUACGACCUACGGGUGAAAGCAGGGGACCUUCGGGCCUUGCGCGAUUGAAUGAGCCGAUGUCGGAUUAGCGAGUUGGCGGGGUAAAGGCCCACCAAGGCGAUGAUCCGUAGCUGGUCUGAGAGGAUGGUCAGCAACACGGGAACGACGAAACGGUCCAGACGCCGACGGGAGGCAGCAGUGGGGAAUAUUGGACAAUGGGCGCAAGCCUGAGCCAGCCAUACCGCGGGGGUGAAGAAGGCCUUCGGGUUGUAAAGCCCUUUUGUUGGGAAAGAAAUCCAGCUGGCUAAUACCCGGUUGGGAUGACGGUACCCAAAGAAUAAGCACCGGCUAACUUCGUGCCAGCAGCCGCCGUAA
rnacentral:rRNA from 1 species